rnacentral:rRNA from 1 species
CUGGCGGUAGGCUUACACAUGCAAGUCGAGCGAGAAAGUAUCUUCGGAUAUGAGUAGAGCGGCGGACGGGUGAGUAACGCGUAGGAAUCUACCUAGUAGAAGGGGAUAGCCCGGGGAAACUCGGAUUAAUACCGUAUACCUCCUAAGGGAGAAAGAGGGCCUCUCUUGAAGCUCUCGCUACUAGAUGAGCCUGCGUAAGAUUAGCUUGUUGGUAAGGUAAUGGCUUACCAAGGCUACGAUCUUUAGCUGGUCUGAGAGGACGAUCAGCCACAUUGGGACUGAGACACGGCCCAGACUCCUACGGGAGGCAGCAGUGGGGAAUAUUGGACAAUGGGCGCAAGCCUGAUCCAGCCAUACCGCGUGUGUGAAGAAGGCCUUCGGGUUGUAAAGCACUUUAAGCAGGGAGAAAAAGCAAUAAGUUAAUACCUUAUUGCCGUGAUGUUACCUGCAGAAUAAGCACCGGCUAAUUCCGUGCCAGCAGCCGCGGUAAUACGGAAGGUGCAAGCGUUAAUCGGAAUUACUGGGCGUAAAGCGCGCGUAGGUGGUUUGUUUAGUUGGAUGUGAAAGCCCU